UGGUCAAUGGACGAGAGUCUGAACCAGCCAAGUCGCGUGAGGGAUGACUGCCCUAUGGGUUGUAAACCUCUUUUAUAAGGGAAGAAUAAGUUCUACGUGUAGAAUGAUGCCUGUACCUUAUGAAUAAGCAUCGGCUAACUCCGUGCCAGCAGCCGCGGGAAUACGGAGGAUGCGAGCGUUAUCCGGAUUUAUUGGGUUUAAAGGGUGCGUAGGCGGUUUAUUAAGUUAGUGGUUAAAUAUUUGAGCUAAACUCAAUUGUGCCAUUAAUACUGGUAAACUGGAGUACAGACGAGGUAGGCGGAAUAAGUUAAGUAGCGGUGAAAUGCAUAGAUAUAACUUAGAACUCCGAUUGCGAAGGCAGCUUACCAGACUGUAACUGACGCUGAUGCACGAAAGCGUGGGUAGCGAACAGGAUUAGAUACCCUGGUAGUCCACGCCGUAAACGAUGAUCACUGGUUCUGUGCGAUAUAUUGUACGGGAUUAAGCGAAAGUAUUAAGUGAGCCACCUGGGGAGUACGUCGGCAACGAUGAAACUCAAAGGAAUUGACGGGGGCCCGCACAAGCGGAGGAACAUGUGGUUUAAUUCGAUGAUACGCGAGGAACCUUACCUGGGUUUAAAUGGGAAAUGUCGUAUUUGGAAACAGAUAUUCUCUUCGGAGCGUUUUUCAAGGUGCUGCAUGGUUGUCGUCAGCUCGUGCCGUGAGGUGUCGGGUUAAGUCCCAUAACGAGCGCAACCCUUACCGUUAGUUGCUAGCAUGUAAUGAUGAGCACUCUAACGGGACUGCCACCGUAAGGU
rnacentral:rRNA from 1 species